rnacentral:tRNA from 1 species
GGGCGGCUAGCUCAGCUGGUUAGAGCACUUGCUUGACAUGCAUCCGAGGCUGAGCGCUGUGCCGCCCC